UACGUAGGGGGCUAGCGUUGUCCGGAAUCAUUGGGCGUAAAGCGCGUGUAGGCGGUUCGGUAAGUCCGCUGUGAAAGUCGGGGGCUCAACCCUCGGAUGCCGGUGGAUACUGUCGGACUAGAGUACGGAAGAGGCGAGCGGAAUUCCUGGUGUAGCGGUGAAAUGCGCAGAUAUCAGGAGGAACACCGAUUGCGAAGGCAGCUCGCUGGGACGUUACUGACGCUGAGACGCGAAAGCGUGGGGAGCAAACAGG
rnacentral:rRNA from 1 species